GACGAACGCUGGCGGCGUGCCUAAUACAUGCAAGUCGAGCGAUCAGGGGAGGUGCUUGUACCACCGGGGUGAGCAGCGGACGGGUGAGUACCGCGUGGGGAAUCUACCUUUGAGCGGGGGACAACAUUUGGAAACGAGUGCUAAUACCGCAUAAUAUCUUUAAACACAAGGUUCAAGAUUGAAAGACGCUAUUGCAUUACUUAAAGAUGAGCCCGCGUUGUUUUAGCUAGUUGGUGAGGGAAAGGCUUUCCAAGGGAAUGAUACAGAGCCGACCUGAGAGGGUGUUCGCCCACACGGGACCUGAACAAGGGCCCAGACUCCUACGGGGGGCACCAGUAGGGAACUUUCCGCAAUGGGCGAAGGCUUGCCGGAGCAACGCCGCGGAAUUGAGGAGGUUCUUCGGAUCGUAAACCCCUGUUAUUAGGAAAGAACAAAUUUGUAGGUAACAGCGCACCUAUUGACGGUAACUAACCAGAAAGCCACGGCUAACUACGUG
rnacentral:rRNA from 1 species